rnacentral:rRNA from 1 species
UUCCGGUUGAUCCUGCCGGACCCGACUGCUAUCAGAGUGGGACUAAGCCAUGCGAGUCAACAUAGCAAUAUGUGGCAUACGGCUCAGUAACACGUAGUCAACAUGCCCAGGGGACGUGGAUAACCUCGGGAAACUGAGGAUAAACCGCGAUAAGUCACUGCUUCUGGAAUGGGCAAUGACUUAAAUCUAUAUGGCCCCUGGAUUGGACUGCGGCCGAUCAGGCUGUUGGUGAGGUAAUGGCCCACCAAACCUGUAACCGGUACGGGCUCUGAGAGGAGGAGCCCGGAGAUGGGCACUGAGACAAGGGCCCGGGCCCUAUGGGGCGCAGCAGGCGCGAAACCUCUGCAAUAGGCGAAAGCCUGACAGGGUUACUCUGAGUGAUUUCCGUUAAGGAGAUCUUUUGGCACCUCUAAAAAUGGUGCAGAAUAAGGGGUGGGCAAGCCUGGUGUCAGCCGCCGCGGUAAUACCAGCACCCCGAGUGGUCGGGACGUUUAUUGGGCCUAAAGCAUCCGUAGCCGGUUCUGCAAGUCUUCCGUUAAAUCCACCUGCUUAACAGAUGGGCUGCGGAAGAUACUAUAGAGCUAGGAGGCGGGAGAGGCAAGCGGUACUCGAUGGGUAGGGGUAAAAUCCGUUGAUCCAUUGAAGACCACCAGUGGCGAAGGCGGCUUGCCAGAACGCGCUCGACGGUGAGGAAUGAAAGCUGGGGGAGCAAACCGGAUUAGAUACCCGGGUAGUCCCAG